rnacentral:rRNA from 1 species
AGCGGCAGGCCUAAUACAUGCAAGUCGGACGGGAUCCAUCGGUAGCUUGCUAUCAAUGGUGAGAGUGGCGCACGGGUGCGUAACGCGUGAGCAACCUGCCUCCAUCAGGGGGAUAGCCUCUCGAAAGAGAGAUUAACACCGCAUAACAUAAUAUUCCGGCAUCGGGAGAUUAUUAAAUAUUUAUAGGAUGGAGAUGGGCUCGCGUGACAUUAGCUAGUUGGUGGGGUAACGGCUCACCAAGGCGACGAUGUCUAGGGGCUCUGAGAGGAGAAUCCCCCACACUGGUACUGAGACACGGACCAGACUCCUACGGGAGGCAGCAGUAGGGAAUAUUGGUCAAUGGGCGGAAGCCUNAACCAGCCAUGCCGCGUGCAGGAUGACUGCCCUAUGGGUUGUAAACUGCUUUUGUCCGGGAAUAAACCUCCUUACGAGUAGGGAGCUGAAUGUACCGGAAGAAUAAGGAUCGGCUAACUCCGUGCCAGCAGCCGCGGUAAUACGGAGGAUCCGAGCGUUAUCCGGAUUUAUUGGGUUUAAAGGGUGCGUAGGCGGCCUGUUAAGUCAGGGGUGAAAUACGGUGGCUCAACCAUCGCAGUGCCUUUGAUACUGACGGGCUUGAAUCCAUAUGAUGUGGGCGGAAUAAGACAAGUAGCGGUGAAAUGCAUAGAUAUGUCUUAGAACUCCGAUUGCGAAGGCAGCUCACUAAGCUGGUAUUGACGCUGAUGCACGAAAGCGUGGGGAUCGAACAGGAUUAGAUACCCUGGUAGUCCACGCCCUAAACGAUGAUAACUCGAUGUUGGCGAUAGACANGCCAGCGUCCCAGCGAAAGCGUUAAGUUAUCCACCUGGGGAGUACGCCCGCAAGGGUGAAACUCAAAGGAAUUGACGGGGGCCCGCACAAGCGGAGGA